ensembl:lncRNA
CUUUUUUCGCAUUUUGCCUUGUUAAGAGCUCCGCAAUGGCUGACCUGGGAAUUGAGUUUUAAUUAAUGGAGGGAAAUUCUUCUCGUCCGCCCCAUAAUGAGAGAAGACAGAGGUGAGAACAGCUCAAUAGGAGAGAUAACCAGUCUUUGAUCCAAACGGUCAUGCAGAACCUUUUACUUGCUGCCUCGUCAGAAUGUGUACUGUUAAGCUGCACACUUUUAAAUCUCUAAAAUAUCUUCAAAAGGGACAUUUCAGAUCAUUUGUAUUGAGAACUAUAAUGUAGAACCAGACCAGUGUGUCCCUUUGUUAAUAAUACACUUGAUAGCAAACUGUCUGCCCUUUGAGUGCCUUGUUUCCAGAUCACAGCCUGCAGACUUUUACAAUAUAAUAAUUGACUUCUAACACUCAGUUACGCACAAACAGCCGGCCAGCUAUACAACAUCUUCACACACAUUCAAAAUAUUAAACUGUCUGAGUGCCAUUUCUGAAUCCCCCACUAACAAGACCCAUCUCAACUUAAGACGUCUUGUUAAAUUGAGACCUUGUUCCCCAGUGGACUUAAAUGUAAAACAUAUCUCUACCCCUGACAAGCAAUGUUAAUCCAUUUAGUGUAACGAACUAACAUGUCCCUAAUUAAAAUAUGCCUUUUAAUGAUACAUACUGACAUCUUGGAAAACACUGUCACGCUUCCCUCCUUUAAUACAGGAAUAUGUUAAUUGCCUCAGUAACACUGGUGUUCAAAUCCCAAGGCUGCCGCCACAUCCUGAGGGAGUUUGUUGGUUAAAGCCCCUGCGUCCCCCCCAAAAAAAGGGGGCCCAUUUAACUGUUUCUUGAAGUCUGUUUUGGCCAGCAGAAGUGGCCUGACACCGUGGAUUUCCAUUCAUUUACAGCCAUUCAAUUUGGCAUUUGGGAGUCUUACCCUACACCCCUUCAGUCCAGCACUUCACCUGUAGGCGCUGCCGGGCAGACAGAGAGCGUCCCGCUUCCACCUCAUCCCAUGGCAGCUCAUUUAAAACACAUCAAGCUGAUUGCUGGGUUUCUGCACUGACAAGGCCCAGCAUUUGUUCCAUCAGCCUGCAGGGUCGCAGACCACACUGAGGAGCAGUGGGGAGUCCUGCUCAGCACCUGCAGCUCUCGCGAGGUGGCCCGCUAGCAAAGAAAGGCUUUGGCCACGGCCCAAAUAUCUGCCUGCACCUUCUGUGCAAACGCGGCAGCCUCAGGAAACCAGGAGGCAGCAAUAUUGUGGAACAAAUGUCCCCUAAUCUCAACCGGCUGGUCUGGGGUCCUAGGUGGGGCCUCCUCCUUAGAGUUUGACCCUGGACCGUGGUCACGCAGGGCGGCGCCACUGGUGACUAAACAGCACGCACCUGCAGAGGUGUCACUCACAGCGACGUCGGGUUCCAUCAGCUCCACCUGAGCUGGAAUUACUACUAGUACUACAGAAGGAAUGGAGUUCAUAUUUUUACUUUUAGAUCAUAUUGUAGAUCAAGUCAAAAUUCACAACAAUGACAAUAAUCACCUGCCAAACAUGUUGCACUUAAUAA